CACGUAGGGCGCAAGCGUUGUCCGGAAUUAUUGGGCGUAAAGAGCUCGUAGGCGGUCUGUUGCGUCCGCUGUGAAAACUCGGGGCUUAACCCCGAGCCUGCAGUGGAUACGGGCAGACUAGAGGUAGGUAGGGGAGAAUGGAAUUCCCGGUGUAGCGGUGAAAUGCGCAGAUAUCGGGAGGAACACCGGUGGCGAAAGCGGCUUACUGGGUCUCUUCUGACGCUGAGGUACGAAAGCUAGGGGAGCGAACGGG
rnacentral:rRNA from 1 species